rnacentral:rRNA from 1 species
UGGGGAAUAUUGCACAAUGGGCGCAAGCCUGAUGCAGCCAUGCCGCGUGUGUGAAGAAGGCCUUCGGGUUGUAAAGCACUUUCAGCGAGGAGGAAGGCGUUAAGGUUAAUAACCUUGGCGAUUGACGUUACUCGCAGAAGAAGCACCGGCUAACUCCGUGCCAGCAGCCGCGGUAAUACGGAGGGUGCAAGCGUUAAUCGGAAUUACUGGGCGUAAAGCGCACGCAGGCGGUUUGUUAAGUCAGAUGUGAAAUCCCCGAGCUUAACUUGGGAACUGCAUUUGAAACUGGCAAGCUAGAGUCUUGUAGAGGGGGGUAGAAUUCCAGGUGUAGCGGUGAAAUGCGUAGAGAUCUGGAGGAAUACCGGUGGCGAAGGCGGCCCCCUGGACAAAGACUGACGCUCAGGUGCGAAAGCGUGGGGCAGCAAACAGGAUUAGAUACCCUGGUAGUCCACGCUGUAAACGAUGUCGAUUUGGAGGUUGUGGGCUUGACCCGUGGCUUCCGGAGCUAACGCGUUAAAUCGAGCCGCCUGGGGAGUACGGCCGCAAGGUUAAA